CUAUGCGCCUUGCCAGCCCGCUCAGGUGCGCCAGCAGCCGCGGUAAUACAGAGGUCUCAAGCGUUGUUCGGAAUCACUGGGCGUAAAGCGUGCGUAGGCGGUUUCGUAAGUCGUGUGUGAAAGGCGGGGGCUCAACCCCCGGACUGCACAUGAUACUGCGAGACUAGAGUAAUGGAGGGGAACCGGAAUUCUCGGUGUAGCAGUGAAAUGCGUAGAUAUCGAGAGGAACACUCGUGGCGAAGGCGGGUUCCUGGACAUUAACUGACGCUGAGGCACGAAGGCCAGGGGAGCGAAAGGG
rnacentral:rRNA from 1 species